UAUAUAAGGGUGUAUGAUUGCACUAAAAGUUUUGAUCUUUUAAGUUAUGGUUUAAUCCCAUAUUAUAUAA
rnacentral:tRNA from 1 species